ACGCACGGUAACUAAAUAACAUCAUUCCGAUAUCAUUCUGAUGUCAGUGUACAUUCGAAUUGGCCGAAGAGUCAGCAAACUUAUGAUGAUGGAAUUUCUUUAAAGUUAAAUAUAAGAAGAUGUUAAAGUGUUAACGCAUUCACUGAUAUCAGCUACGCGCUACGCUUGUCGCCGGUAACGCGUUUUUCCGCUAUGUAGCGAAACGCCUAAGAACGGAGAACUCGUCGAGUGGGUCACUGGCAGUGAAUGUGUUAUGGCAGUUGGAGCUGAAGCGAACUUGAGGCAGUCUAAAUAUGUUCUUGAUGUUUAUUUUAAUUAAUGUUCUUGUAAUUCUUCUUCUUCUUCCUCGCGUUGUCCCGGCAUUAUGCCACGGCUCAUGGGAGCCUGGGGUCCGCUUGACAACUAAUGCCAAGAUGUGGCGUAGGCACUAGUUUUUACGAAAGCAACUGCCAUCUGACCUUCCAACCCAAUUUCCAAAAUAAUUUAUGAAUCUCUUCCGCACCAACAUAUAUGUCUCUGUUUGACUCAAUGGUUGACUGGUAGAGAAUGCCUUUUGGCAUUAAAUCCGCAAAUUUGUACAUUUUUCUUUGUUUAUGCAAUAAAGUUUAAAUAAUAAUAAUAAAAAAACAAUAAAUAAAUAAAAUAUCUUAUUUUUCAGGUAUGUUCUUCACUUCAAAUCCAGACUACUACGUGCAGUAUCAAAGUAAGGUAGUCUUAUACAGUACAUUGUAGGAAAGGCCAGAAAACCGCUUAUAGAUGGACGAGUGAGUUUGAGGGCCGACACGUACUAGCGGUUCCGGCCGAGGUUUUACAUAGUGCUUUUCACGGAUACUGCGAGGAAAUAAGAAAACAUUUGCAUAACUAUAAGUACUUCAAUUGAAAAUAAUUUUUAUAUUGGCGUGAGGACAGAUGUUGAAAGAAAGCGAUGUAUUUUUGCCAUGUAGUAGAACUCAUUUUUAUAGCGUAGAUACGUGUUUCUUGUAUUCUUUAGCCAAACAAAAUUUACACUAAGUAUCCAAUUCAAUAAGUAUUUUGCGAUACGGCCUUUUUUACUUUUUUUAUCACUUAUAAGAGGCGUUUUUCUGUUGUUUGCUUCAAACCGACUCUAAACUUAGAAGCGUUUUUGCUAAAAAACCACAAACAGCUACAAAAGUAAAAACGCCUUAAGCGUGAACUGAAUGGUUUUGACGUUUCUGUUUUUU